rnacentral:piRNA from 1 species
UUUUAGAUCUAUAGUCAGUGG